AUUAUUGGAAAAGGGGGGGAACCCUAUUCCAGCAAGGCCGCGGGUUUGAAGAAGUUCUUCGGAUUAUAAAGAACUUAACGUGGGGGGGAAGAGUUGUAGGCUAAUCCCUUGCAAUUUUCACGUUACCACCAGAUUAAGCACCGCCUAACUUCUUGCCAGCACCCGCGGUAAUACGAGGGGUGCAAGCGUUAAUCGGAAUUACUGGGCGUAAAGCGCGCGUAGGUGGUUCGUUAAGUUGGAAGUGAAAGCCCCGGGCUUAACCUGGGAAUUGCUUUCAAAACUGACGAGCUAGAGUACGGUAGAGGGUAGUGGAAUUUCCUGUGUAGCGGUGAAAUGCGUAGAUAUAGGAAGGAACAUCAGUGGCGAAGGCGACUACCUGGACUGAUACUGACACUGAGGUGCGAAAGCGUGGGGAGCAAACAGG
rnacentral:rRNA from 1 species